rnacentral:ribozyme from 16 species
CACACACAAAACACACCAUUAAAACACAAAGGUACCACCCACACACCAACCAAUUUUAUUUACCUGAAGUUUUUUUUUUUCUUUCCUCCUUCUUUCUUUUCUUUUAUUUGUCUUAAUUUUAUUUCUUUUCCCGUUUUCUCUUGGUUAAUUGGCGUUUUCCCCUAACUUUCUCAAAAAAAAGGGGGGGGGGGGGGGGAAGACGACACACCAAUCUCCAAAAAAAAA